GACGUAGGGCGCAAGCGUUGUCCGGAAUUAUUGGGCGUAAAGAGCUCGUAGGCGGCUUGUUGCGUCAGCUGUGAAAACCCGCAGCUCAACUGUGGGCUUGCAGCUGAUACGGGCAGGCUUGAGUUCGGUAGGGGAGACUGGAAUUCCUGGUGUAGCGGUGAAAUGCGCAGAUAUCAGGAGGAACACCGGUGGCGAAGGCGGGUCUCUGGGCCGAUACUGACGCUGAGGAGCGAAAGCGUGGGGAGCGAACAGGAUUAGAAC
rnacentral:rRNA from 1 species